AAAACCUACCAAUAGUGUCAGCAAGUUACCAGGAAGUAAAACAAUUAUUAAAAUGUUUCUAAGCUAAUUUGUACAAAAUAACAUACAUACAAAACAUGUAAAAUUACACCAUUAAUCUUCCUAAAAAUAAAUAUAUAAACAAGACAAUUUGUAAUAAAAAACAAAAUCAACAGCUUGCAAUCAAGCAAUUAACUACAUUGAAAAUUUUCAAUUAUAACAUUGACAAUUGGGACCCUCUUAUAAUGUGCAUUCUUGAAAGAAAAUCGGAUGUGUAUUAUGAGUUAGAUAUAGGGAAUUUCAACCCAUUGGGUAUCAUAAACCUACUGUCAAUACCCUUAUUGAUUUCUUAGGGAAAUGAGCCCUUGUACUUGAGAAUGCUGCAGAGCUAUAGGUGCAGUAGUCUCCGAAGGCAACCAAUAUUGCAACCAGCAUUGGUUUGCCAGGAUCUACAUCCAGGAAGUCAGCACCGCCGCCAACAGCCUGCACUCAAUGUGUUCCUGCCCUCUGAGCGUCAUGUUAUCAUUCAUGUGUUGCUGCUAUAGAAAGACGGCACGAGUAAACUUCAACCUCGUGUCCUUAAUACUCAAUUUAGCCAUGUUAUUGCAGAUUUCUGAAAAAAUUCUAAACAGGGAUGACUGGAAGGGAAAAACAUAUUACGUCCACCCCAAAUACAUGGGAUAUGGAAGAAGCAGAUGAUGACAGAUUUGUGAUGCCUCGAGUACUACCGCUUGUGCUGUACAAAUGUGUCGACAGAAGAUAGAUUUUCGUGCUGCCGAACAGGUAAUGUUAAUGUUACUUUACUCUGUUCUAAGUCUGUACUAAAUCAAAACAUAUCCGUCUCUAGGCUUGAGGUCAGUGCUGUUGUACUGUUUGCAAAAUUAACUGCUAGAACCUGUAUAAGCUGAAAAACUAUAUUUAUUACAAUGAACUUAUUCUGUGGUAGGUUUAGGAUAGGUUUACUUAAAUUAGUUUUAAAAGCUGUUAAUUUAAAAUCUGACUCACAAAUUGUAUUAGCGUGAAUUAACACUAAUAUCAAUAUAUUGAAUCCAUAUAUGGUGAACGGAGUUAGGAUAAUUUCACAGUUAACAAUUAAUUGCAUUUGAUCUUAUAUCAAUUCAAAGGAGAAACCGGCAGGCUGCACUUGUAGAAGCCUCCAAGCCAACAAGCUGGAGGAUAUGGUUCUGAAUCCUCCUGUGGUGGUAUGGUCCAGGAACCCCACUCAGUGCUUAUUACAAGGUGUACUCAAAAAUGCUACAGAAUAUGAAAUAACCGGGCAUGGUAAGAUUAUGAAGACUACUGUGACAGGAGUUGAAAGAUUCCAUAAAACUUUGGAAGAAGCUCAAGCUGAUCAACUAGGUGCGCUGGUCCACCAUAAAGAGUUAAUAAAUAAAACGAGGAAUGGUUAUGGUUAAGCCUGGUACAGUUCACCUCAUGAUAAUAUUGGAGCUGCUGUUUAUAUACU